rnacentral:rRNA from 1 species
AAACUAACAAGGAUUCCCCUAGUAGCGGCGAGCGAAGCGGAAGAGCUCAAAUUUAUAAUCUGGCACCUUCGGUGUCCGAGUUGUAAUCUCUAGAAGUGUUUUCCGCGUUGGACCGCACACAAGUCUGUUGGAAUACAGCGGCAUAGUGGUGAAACCCCGUAUAUGGUGCGGACGCCCAGCGCUUUGUGAUACACUUUCAAUGAGUCGAGUUGUUUGGGAAUGCAGCUCAAAUUGGGUGGUAAAUUCCAUCUAAAGCUAAAUAUUGGCGAGAGACCGAUAGCGAACAAGUACCGUGAGGGAAAGAUGAAAAGCACUUUGGGAAAGAGAGUUAACAGUACGUGAAAUUGUUGGAAGGGGAAACGCUUGAAGUCAGACUUGCUUGCCGGAGCUUGCUUCGGUUUGCAGGCCAGCAUCAGUUUUCCGGGGUGGAUAAUGACGGUUUGAAGGUAGCAGUCUCGGCUGUGUUAUAGCUUUCCGUUGGAUACGCCCUGGGGGGACUGAGGAACGCAGCGUGCUUUUUUGCGAAAGACUCGUCUUUUUCACGCUUAGGAUGCUGGUGGAAUGGCUUUAAACGAC